ACUUAUAUAUUUUAAUCAGAAUAUUGCGUUGAAGUUGCAAAGGAGGCCUGGGGCCUGUAAGUG
rnacentral:tRNA from 1 species